rnacentral:rRNA from 1 species
AAGCCCCCCUCAAGAUGAGAUUUCCCAUAGCGUAAGCUAGUAAGAUCCCUGAAAGAUGAUCAGGUUGAUAGGUUCGAGGUGGAAGCAUGGUGACAUGUGGAGCUGACGAAUACUAAUAGAUCGAGGACUUAACCAU